AAGAUGCAAUCUCAAAAGUGCAGAAGUUUUGCGUAAACAAUGAGUAAUUAAUGAAUUUUCCAUGUGGUGUUUCCGAAAUGGUGGGGGAUGCUCUCUGUCCUUCUCGCACAAUGUUGCUUUCCUUGUCUUUGAGUUAGCAUACCUCCUUGCAUAUCCUGCUAUGCUAGUAACAAGUCGGAGCUUCGCGGAUCCAAACGCGAGAUGGCGCUGAUUAAAAUUUUUCGAUCGUUACCUAAGUUAUCGACACAAUAUAUUUUAAAUGUUUAUGGAAUUAAAGAAACAUAACCACAAUUGUAAUAUCCAGAAAUAUUUGUUCGAGAAAUAUUAAAAAAAUCCACAUUCUUCUAAAUAUUGCGAAACAAGAAAGUUAGAAAACUAUUGGGAAAAAUAGAAAGAGGAUAUUAUUUGGAAAAAGAGGGGAAAAAAAGAUCUCAUGAUAUAUGUAGAAGACAAUUCAUUUGCGCAUUUCGAGAUGGAAAUCUGUUAAAUCCGGACUUUCGUUCAAAUUCCAACUUCCAGAGAUAUGAACAUGGUCAAUAGAUUAUCAGAUUAAAUGAAAAUUAUUAAUUUAUGUUAAUUAUGUAUAAAUUCAAGUUAAAAAAUGAAAAAUGAAAUAAGAAAUUUUAAAUUGGAUUAAAAACAAUAUCAAUACCCACAGAUCAUAUCCUGGAUUACAUAGUCAAUUUAUAAAGCCAAAAUUAGAGAUAGAAGGAUCUAAAGAUUCAAAAUGUAAAUGUAAUUUCGAAUGCGA